rnacentral:misc_RNA from 1 species
CCUCCUUAAACGAUGCAUCACUCCUCGCGGCAAGCGCUCACAAUGAAUUACCUGAUCAGAAUGCUGUUGAUGAGCAGUGAUAAACGCUCUUUCACGUUAAAAAAGAAGAAAAGGCCUUUCUUUCUCUUUUAAGGUGUGAAAACACGAUCCGUUUAUCACUGCUUAUAGCUAGCAGUCGCUCUUUAACAAUGUAUAUCAUGCUGACAGAAACGUGUUUAACACGUUUCUACGUAAAUUGUAUUGUGAUACGUCUCAAGCGUAUCCGGCAAUCGUUAUCAUUGCGAGAUACCAGANCCCUUCGGGUUAUAGGGUCAAGCAAUGAAGCGCACACGGUGGAUGCA